UUUUUUUUUUUUUUUUUUUUUUUUUUUUUCUUCGGUGCCAACAUGAAGUCUGCAAGUGCCAUAAUA
rnacentral:ribozyme from 1 species